rnacentral:precursor_RNA from 12 species
GUGAAAAGAAUAUAUAACAGUUAUGGGCCAUGUGAUGUGCAUGUGGGCUUUCCGAUAUAUGACAGGUGGCCCACACUUACAUCACUUGCGACCGUAACUGUCUAUUCUUCAACGACUGA